ACACACACUUCAUCCAGGACAGUGACCUUUGCAGUUACAUCAGACAGGACUAAAUGCAGUGUCUGGAGGUUACAUUUAAAAGGUACUAAUCAACACUGCAGGCUGGAGAGGGUCCAAUGCUUCCUUCAUGUGCUAUAAAAACAUGAAUACAAGCCCCAGAAUUAACCAGCAAACGUCAGGAUUUUCUCCGACACCCAAGUUAAUGAGGUGUGAAAUUUAUGAGCUUACAUCUUUGCGUUUUACGAGAAGCACUUGAAUGCAACAUGAACCCAAGGCAGCCGAGGCGGUCUCUUUGAAGUUUGCCGGGCUGGAGCUGAAUCUACCUUGUGAGAACCAUGAGUGACUGUGAGGAGACAGACUACUUUUUGGAGUGUUGGACUUUGCCUGGGAAAAGAAAAAGAAAAAAGGACUCCAAAAAGGAUAAAAAAUGCUUAAAAAGCAAAAACAACAUAACCAUGAAAACAGAUGAGAACAUCCAGAAAAAAAAGAAAAAGAAAAACUCCAAAUUCAAAGAAGCUAUGACAGGCAGGAAAGAAAAGAAAAAAGAAAAGAAGAAAAAGAAAAACAGAUUGACUCUGGAACUAGAUGACAGUUUUGUAAUUACGCAGGCCAGCAGUGCUCAGGGGAAAGCUACUGUGAAGCCUGGAACAGCGACUCCAUGCAGCAAUGACAAGCUACAACCUGAUCACCUGACUCAAGACUCCAAGAAGAAAACAAAAAGGAAAAAGAAAGUGGCGUUUGAUUUAUCCCCAGGCUACAUCCGCAUCAAACGUCCUAAAUUUGUCUCUUCAUCUCCGCAGUGUCCCGAAGAGAGCAUCCUCUUAGCGCAUGAGGCUGUGAGAGAGAGUGAGAGCUGUUCACAGGUCACAGCGACAGGGCACACACAUGAUAAUGACUCUCAAUGCAACAGUGAGGACAUAAACAGCCAGGACCUGUUCAUCACCCAGAAGACAUUCAGAGUGUCGCCCUCCGAGGCUUCCAGCGGUGAAGCCAGUGACACAGCCGUUGCUGAAACGCCUGAAAUGUUCAUGCAGCGAGACAAGCGGCACACGUGUGUGGCACAGAUAAAACAGCAUCUUGAAGGAUUGUACAAAGGUCCACAGGACUCCCUUUCCCGUCAGCAUCACAGACAGACAAACCAGGAUGUGAAGACGCCAAGGAAAGAAGAGGGGUUGAACAAUGCACAUCAUAAUGUCAAGAAGGGAAAAUUGUCCUUUCAGACACAGAUGGAACGAAACGCAAAUCUUACUGAGGAGAAAAAUGUCUCAUGUCCUGUCCAUGUAAAGCCCAGUGUGGUGACUCCUUACCUGGCAGAACCAGUUGUUGUAAACUCCUCCCCUGAUGCUGCAGAGUCAAAGAAACAUUCCUGUACUUCAAGCAAACAGUCCAUGACAAGCACCGCCACGCAGACAGAAAACUUCUUCACCACAGAACUCUCCUCCUACCUCAGCUUCUGCCAAAGAAGUAGAGUGACUGAGGACUUGAGACCUUUGGACCUGAGCCUGCCGCAGAGGGCCAGAAAGGACCUCGGGACAUCGUCUUUACCGGGAGAGAUUAAAGCUGACAACCACAAAGAUCCCAUUCUGCUUCGAUCUUGUUCCUCGGGUGUGAAAGAUGUCGAGGUAAAGAGAGAGCCUUCUGGUCUACAUGCUUGUUCUGUGAGCACCCGGGGGAAAGGCAAAUCAAGUCUGCAGCCGCAGUCAGAGUCUGAGCCCAAGUCCACAGACACGUCAACCUCCAGCGAGGACAACGAGCCCCCCUGUCGCACUGGCAAGCUGGACCUGACCCAGGUCAGAGCAGUCCAGACGAGACUCAACGAGUCCUUCUUUUUCAAGACAAAAGGAGAAGGGCUGUCGCCCAGGCCGGAGUCUCCACUGAUGAAACUUGCUCAGGGCAGAGACGUGAAGAGCAGGAAGGGCCACUGA
rnacentral:lncRNA from 15 species